GACGAACGCUGGCGGUGUGCUUCAUACAUGCAAGUCGAACGAUAAGGCCCUUCGGGGUACAUAAGUGGCGGACGGGUGAGUAACACGUAGGAAAUCUACCCUAAGAUGGGGGACAACCUUGGGAAACUAGGGCUAAUACCCCAUAUGUGGAGAGCUGAAAUGCUUUUCAUGAAAGAUUUAUCGUCUUAGGAUGAGCCUGCGUCUGAUUAGCUAGUUGGUAGGGUAAAGGCCUACCAAGGCGACGAUCAGUAGCUGGUUUGAGAGGAUGAUCAGCCACAAUGGGACUGAGACACGGCCCAUACUCCUACGGGAGGCAGCAGUAGGGAAUUUUGCGCAAUGGGCGAAAGCCUGACGCAGCAACACCGCGUGAGUGAUGACGCCCCUUGGGGUGUAAAGCUCUGUCAGUAGGGACGAACUUUGACGGAACCUACAGAGGAAGCAUCGGCUAACUACGUGCCAGCCGCCGCAGUAA
rnacentral:rRNA from 1 species